rnacentral:rRNA from 1 species
GACAGAGGGUGCAACCGUUGUUCGGAAUUACUGGGCGUAAAGCGCGUGUAGGCGGCUAUGCAAGUCGGGUGUGAAAUCCCACGGCUCAACCGUGGAAGUGCACUCGAAACUACGUAGCUGGAGUUCUGGAGAGGGAGGUGGAAUGCUCGGUGUAGAGGUGAAAUUCGUAGAUAUCGAGUGGAACACCGGUGGCGAAGGCGGCCUUCUGGACAGAAACUGACGCUGAGACGCGAAAGCGUGGGGAGCAAACAGG